UACGUAGGGGGCAAGCGUUGUCCGGAAUCAUUGGGCGUAAAGAGCGUGUAGGCGGCCCGGUAAGUCCGCUGUGAAAGUCGGGGGCUCAACCCUCGGAUGCCGGUGGAUACUGUCGGGCUCGAGUACGGAAGAGGCGAGUGGAAUUCCUGGUGUAGCGGUGAAAUGCGCAGAUAUCAGGAGGAACACCGAUUGCGAAGGCAGCUCGCUGGGACGUGACUGACGCUGAGACGCGAAAGCGUGGGGAGCAAACAGG
rnacentral:rRNA from 1 species